UUUAAUUUAGUCUUUAUUUUAUUUAUUUAUAUUUUUGCAUUUUACUGUAUUUCUUAGGGUUUUUGUUGUUAUGUUCUUGGUUUAAAAAAAAUUAGGGUUAUACAUUUUGGGAUUAGUUGUUUUGUGGUUACCAGGCAAUGGUGGCCUCUGCCUUUAAUCCCAGCAAUUGGGAGACAAAAGUAGGUGGAUUUUUUGAGUUCAAGGCCCGCAUGGUCUAUAGAGGGAGCUCCAGGACAGCCCGACAUACACAGAGAAACCCUGUCUCCAAAAACUCAAAAACUCAAAAAAAAAAAAAAAAAGAGUUUAAGAUCAUUUGAUCAUUUUUCGGUUCUUGUGUAUUUUUCUUCUUUUAGAAUAUUAGUAUUUUUGUUAACGGUUUUUAGAAGAGUGUUUUAGAGGGAUUUUUCUUUUUUUCGUUUUCAGGAUUUCAAUGUAUUUUUAGAUUGUUUUCUUGGUUUUUUGAGGAUUUGUUUUUGUUUUUUGUUUUGGUUUGUUUGUUUUUUUUUUUUUAGGCUUUACAGGUUAUAUAUCAUAGUAUAUUACCGUAUUGUAUACUAUUUAUUACUAUAAUCACUAUGUAUGUAUGUAUGUAUGUAUAAAUACACAGCAUAGGUGACAAUGCUUAUGUCACUUAUGGAUUUUUACUAUAUAUUAACUAGGCACAUAUAGAUUGCCUAUGGAUUUAUUCUAUACAAUAACUAAGCAUCUACAUAUAAAUACACAACCAUAGAUAACUAUGUGUUCACGCGUGAUUCCAGUCACCAGGUCUGGAUGCUGAACCCGGGAUUCGAAGGGCGUAAGGUAUGGCUCAUAAGUAAUGUGUACAUUAAGGUGCGAAGAGAAACACUUGGGUAUCCAAAUAAAAUAUUAUUGUAUGUCGCUAAAUGUAUAUAAAAACGAAGGCAAACACUUAGGUAUCUGAAUAAAAUAUUACCAUAAAGAGACAUGGCCACUUAAUGUUGCUUAAAAUGUGACGCCUUAAUCUAUAAGUAAUGUAUGCUUAUUGUAUGCAUAAAACGUGAUGGCUUAAUGUAUACUUAAAACAUGAUGGGUGAAUGUAUGCUUCACAGGUGAGAGCCUGUGCAGAGCUCCAAGGUCAUAUAUUCUGGAAAAUUGUUACUAAUGUCUGGCGUGUGCUGCAGGACACAGGUGCACACAGUAGGGUUUAUGUCACUUCUAAAAAAAUGACACAAAAUAUACAUUCAUAUAUGUACACACACAAACACACGCAGACACACACAUACAUAUACACAUAUACAUGCACUUACGCGUACACAUGCAUAUGCAUAUACAUAUACACAUCAUACAUACACACAUACAAUUACCCAUACAUACAUAUACAUAAACAUAUGCAUAUACAUAUAGAUAUAUAAACAUAUAUACAUAUAUAUACAUAUACAUACACUGACAUAUAUACACAUACAUAUACAUACACAUAUUCAUAUAUAUAAAUACACAUGCAUUCAUAUACACUGCAUAUAAAUAUGCAUAUACAUAUACCUACACAUACAUGUACAUAUAUAUAUACAUGUAUAUACACAUACAUAUAACUGUACGCUACAUGUGCACAUGCACAUACAUAUGCAUAUAUACAUAUAAUUACACAUACAUACACAUACACGUACAGAAACACACACACAUACACAUAGAUAUAGGUUUCAGUUGGGCCCUCUGUGAAAGGGUCACGUGACCCCCAUGGGUUCAGCGGUCACAGGCUGAGAACCCGAGUCCCGGGCUGGAUGUACGCUUUCUAUAGGAGCGUGUUCAGGCCCAACACUGUGGUGUGCGAGUGCGGUUUCAGCUGGUUCAAGCCUCGCCUGGGCUAAGCGACCAAUUCAAAACUGCUGGGGUCUAGAGGGAGAGCCUGGCUUGGGAGGAGGUCGUAUGCAAAUUGGGUUGUCUGUCACCCAUCUCAUUUGCAUACAUCUCCAUACAAUUUCAUGGAUUCCUAACUUCCCAUUUUCUUGCUCCCACCCACUCAGUCAUAUCCAUCCUACCAACCUCAUCUGCAUAUUCACAGCUCAUUUGCAUGUCUCUUAUCUGCAUGUGCAUCAUGAUCAUGUGUUCGUAGCUCAUUUGCAUACAGUUUACAUUAAUAUUUAAAUCGCUCACAUAUACAUUCCUAUGCCUCAUUUCCAUACACACACGUACACAUUUUACUAUAUGCUACUUAUUUAUUUUGUAAUUAUUACAUUAUUAUAUAUCAUGCAUUCUUACUCUAUGGUUUAUUAUGUAUGAUAUUAUUAUUAAUAUAUGUUACAGUUUUUUCCUGUACUGUAUGUUAUUUAUUAACUAUUCUGCUACUAUAUAUUAUAAUUUAUUACUGCAUUAUACACUAUUUAUUACUAUUUUCAUUGUCAUUAUACUAUCAUAUAUAACUUAUUAUUGAACUAUAUGUUAUUUAUUAUUUUAAUAAUAAUAAUUAAAAUAAGAAAUUAAUAAAAUAACCAUUAAUAAUUAUUUUUAAUUCUUUUUAAUGCAAAUGAUUUAUGAAUAUUCUCGAACACAGAGGCAUAUGCAAAUGAGAUCUAUUCAAGCUUAUGCAAAUGAGCAGACUUUCAUAAGAGGCAGAUUCAAUCUGUGUGCAUGCAUGUAUGCAAAUAUAUGUAAUUGAGGCACAUUAUGCAAAUUAAAUCUCCAUUCCUAUUAUUUUUUUUAUCACAUUAUUAUAUAUCAUAAUUUCUUAAUACAUUAUAUACUAUAAUUUUGUUAUUUUUCAUUAUAUAUUAAAGUAUAUUAUUGUAAUAUAUGUUUUUACUCUUAUUUUAAUUAUUGUGUAUGUCAUAUAUUAUUUAUUACUGCACCAUAUAUUGUAUAUUCUUAUUUUGAUUCUCAUUAUAUUAUUAUAUAUUACAAUGUAUUACUGAACUAUAUUAUUUAUUUUUUUAAAGUAUUACAGUAUUGUAUAUCAUAAUUUCUUACUGCAUUAUGUAUUAUAAUUUUUAUUAUUAUUAUGUUAUAUAUUACAUAUUACUCUACUGUAUGUUUUUGAUUAUUUUAAUUAUGUUAUUAUAUAUCAUAAUUUAUUACCACAUCAUAUAUUAUACAUAAUUACUUUUACUGUCAAAUUAUUAUAUAUUACAACUUAUUAUUGAGCUAUAUGUUUUUUCUUAUUUUUUAAUUAUUACAUUAUUAUAUAUCAUUUCUUACUACAUCAUAUAUUAUAAUUUUUGUUACAAUAUUAUAUAUUAUAGUUUACCCAUACUAUACUAUACAUUACUUAUUAUUAUUUUAAUUAUUUUUGUAUAUUUAAUUAUUUUUGUAUAUUAAAUAUAAUUUUACUGC
rnacentral:lncRNA from 1 species